rnacentral:rRNA from 1 species
UGGGGAAUAUUGCACAAUGGGCGCAAGCCUGAUGCAGCCAUGCCGCGUGUAUGAAGAAGGCCUUCGGGUUGUAAAGUACUUUCAGCGGGGAGGAAGGGAGUAAAGUUAAUACCUUUGCUCAUUGACGUUACCCGCAGAAGAAGCACCGGCUAACUCCGUGCCAGCAGCCGCGGUAAUACGGAGGGUGCAAGCGUUAAUCGGAAUUACUGGGCGUAAAGCGCACGCAGGCGGUUUGUUAAGUCAGAUGUGAAAUCCCCGGGCUCAACCUGGGAACUGCAUCUGAUACUGGCAAGCUUGAGUCUCGUAGAGGGGGGUAGAAUUCCAGGUGUAGCGGUGAAAUGCGUAGAGAUCUGGAGGAAUACCAGUGGCGAAGGCGGCCCCCUGGACGAAGACUGACGCUCAGGUGCGAAAGGGUGGGGAGCAAACAGG